UAACACCUCUCGGUGACUCGGGCGAUAUCUUGGACUUGUACGAACAUGUCAUUAUUGUGGUAUACCCGGACAUAUUCAGCGUUUCCGCUAUAAACUUCCCGGAAGGCCCCCUUAUUUGGCUACAACAAAUGUAGCUAAUGCAGCUGAGUUUAUUAUUCCUUCUCGCUCCUCCGAGGGAGGAACAUUUAUCAGAAUGUCAGAAGAGGAACUUGCUAGGUAUAAUCGGUUCCAGAUUUCUCAGCCGGUUUCCUCCUCCACAACUACCUUUGCUCAGACAAGUAAUGCAAUAGCAUGUCUCUCAUCUAUCUCUCGCUCCUAGAUCAUUGAUUCAAGUGCUACGGAUCACAUGACUGGAUCUUCAGGAUUUGAAGACGAAGAAGACGAUUUGUAGGGGACACAUGUCGAGGGGGCUAUAUGUGUUUGAUGAUACUACCAGUGUUGCUUGUUUGACAAUUUCUCCACAUAAAAUUCAUUGUCACUUGGGACAUCCCUCUUUGGGAAAUUUGAUGAAGUUAGAUUCCCAUUUUCAUUCUUUAUCUCGUAUUGAGUGUCGGUCAUGUCAAUUUGGAAAAUUGCACUGUAUUAAUUAUAGUCCAGGAGUUAAUAAACAGGCCUCUCGACCAUUUGCGUUAGUUCAUUCUAAUGUUUGGGGUCCUUGUCCGAUUACUUCAAAGUUGGGUUUUAAGUACUUCGUUACUUUUGUAGAUGAUUAUUCAAGAGCCACUUGGCUAUAUCUAAUGAAAAGUUGUUCUGAGUUAUUCUCUA